rnacentral:rRNA from 1 species
CCUACGGGCGGCUGCAGUGGGGAAUAUUGGACAAUGGGGGCAACCCUGAUCCAGCCAUGCCGCGUGUGUGAAGAAGGCCCUCGGGUUGUAAAGCACUUUCAGUGAGGAAGAACGCCUGGUGGUUAAUACCCAUCAGGAAAGACAUCACUCACAGAAGAAGCACCGGCUAACUCCGUGCCAGCAGCCGCGGUAAUACGGAGGGUGCGAGCGUUAAUCGGAAUUACUGGGCGUAAAGCGCGCGUAGGUGGCUUGAUAAGCUGGUUGUGAAAGCCCCGGGCUCAACCUGGGAACGGCAUCCGGAACUGUCAAGCUAGAGUGCAGGAGAGGAAGGUAGAAUUCCCGGUGUAGCGGUGAAAUGCGUAGAGAUCGGGAGGAAUACCAGUGGCGAAGGCGGCCUUCUGGACUGACACUGACACUGAGGUGCGAAAGCGUGGGUAGCAAACAGGAUUAGAUACCCCGGUAGUC